rnacentral:rRNA from 1 species
AACGAAUUUGGUUCUGGUUUUUAUUCUUGAAACUUUAAAGAGUUAUACAUGCAAGCUAAUAAGUUCCCCGGUGAGGACCCGAGAAAAUUAGAAAAUAAAUUUAAUAUGUUUUUCUUCAUGAAGCGGAAGAAUAACCAUUUUUAUAAGAGGUAAUAUGGCUGUUAAAUAUCGUCACAUCUGCAGUAGUAAAUAUUUAACCCUGUCUGAAAAGACGAUUAAAUCAAAUAAAAAAGAAACUGGCGGAAAUACCGUGCCAGCAGCCGCGGUUAAACGGAUGGUUUUCAAUAUAAUAAGUAGCUUAAUACAGAAAUCCUUAAUAAAAGAUGGUUAGGUUUAAAGCUUUAAUGUGGAAAUUAAUUUUAUUAUGUUCCUCUUGUAUUGCGGAGAGACUGUUAAGGUUAGGAGGAAGACCGGGUUUUGAUAUCCCGUUAUCCCUAAAAUAAAAAGUUAAUGCUGGUGGAGUACGAAGAAUAUCUUUGAGAAACAAAGAACUUGGCGGUGAUUUAAUUCGUAUCAGGGGAGCUUGUUUGAAUAAAAUGAUAAUCCACAUUAUACCUUACCUUUUCUAGAAAAUACAGCCUCUAUAUCAUCGUCAUUAAGUUUUCAUUGUGAAUUAAAGAAGGCUAAAAAACUAGAGAUGGUUAGAUGUCAGAUCGAGAUGGAGCUAAUGAAAAGGAGAUGAUGGGCUACAAUAUUAAUAUUUCUUAUAGCCUAUAGUUAAAAAAUAGAUUCUUUUAUGAAAAGAAAAGUUGAAAUAGGACUUGAUAGUAAUAAAGAAAGAGAGAGCCUUUAUGAAGUAAGCUCUAAAUUGCGUACACAUCGCCCGUCACCUGCGGGGUGAAACCUGGAGUAAGUCGUAACAAAGUAGGCAUACCGGAAGGUGUGGCCUGGCCAAUU